rnacentral:rRNA from 1 species
AACGAACGCUGGCGGCAUGCCUAACACAUGCAAGUCGAACGCCCUCUUCGGAGGGAGUGGCGCACGGGUGCGUAACGCGUGGGAACCUGCCCUUAGGUUCGGAAUAACUCAGAGAAAUUUGAGCUAAUACCGGAUAAUGUCUUCGGACCAAAGAUUUAUCGCCUUUGGAUGGGCCCGCGUUGGAUUAGCUAGUAGGUGGGGUAAAGGCCUACCAAGGCGACGAUCCAUAGCUGGUCUGAGAGGAUGAUCAGCCACACUGGGACUGAGACACGGCCCAGACUCCUACGGGAGGCAGCAGUGGGGAAUAUUGGACAAUGGGCGAAAGCCUGAUCCAGCAAUGCCGCGUGAGUGAUGAAGGCCUUAGGGUUGUAAAGCUCUUAUACUGGGGAUGAUAAUGACAGUACCUAGAGAAUAAGCUCCGGCUAACUCCGUGCCAGCAGCCGCGGUAAU